rnacentral:rRNA from 1 species
ACGGAAGGCAGCAGUGGGGAAUAUUGGACAAUGGGGGGAACCCUGAUCCAGCGACGCCGCGUGAGUGAAGAAGUAUUUCGGUAUGUAAAGCUCUAUCAGCAGGGAAGAAAAUGACGGUACCUGACUAAGAAGCCCCGGCUAACUACGUGCCAGCAGCCGCGGUAAUACGUAGGGGGCAAGCGUUAUCCGGAUUUACUGGGUGUAAAGGGAGCGUAGACGGCAAUGCAAGUCUGAAGUGAAAUCCCGCGGCUCAACUGCGGAGCUGCUUUGGAAACUGCAUAGCUGGAGUGUCGGAGAGGUGAGUGGAAUUCCCAGUGUAGCGGUGAAAUGCGUAGAUAUUGGGAGGAACACCGGAGGCGAAGGCGGCUCACUGGACGAUAACUGACGUUGAGGCUCGAAAGCGUGGGGAGCAAACAGGAUUAGAUGCCCUGGUA